CGCCCGCAAGCUCUACGGUCUCGACGCC
rnacentral:SRP_RNA from 1 species